AAACCGUUCGGGGGGAAACGGACAGAGCUCGUGAAUCCGGGUGACGGAAUUCAGAAUCGACGACGUUCACGCGUCGUAGGCUCGAUAUUUCCGUCACCGUCUACAUUCGGACGUCGCGACCCGUUUGGUGUCGGUUUGAGGAGACGUGUGAAAGUUCGUUAACGCGUCGGGGACUUCGGUUCUCGGUGCGUCGACGAGUACGCGUUCUAUUUUGCUAGCCGACUCGCCAGACGGUACGUAAUGGUGAUCGCAGCGACUUUAGCGUCGCUGCUCGACGCCUGUCUGCGACGAAUCUUCGAGUCUCUUUCCGA
rnacentral:rRNA from 1 species